rnacentral:rRNA from 1 species
GAUGAACGCUGGCGGCGUGCCUAAUACAUGCAAGUCGAGCGAACAGACGAGGAGCUUGCUCCUCUGACGUUAGCGGCGGACGGGUGAGUAACACGUGGAUAACCUACCUAUAAGACUGGGAUAACUUCGGGAAGCCGGAGCUAAUACCGGAUAAUAUAUUGAACCGCAUGGUUGAAUGGUGAAAGACGGUGUUGCUGUCACUUAUAGAUGGAUCCGCGCCGCAUUAGCUAGUUGGUAAGGUAAAGGCUUACCAAGGCGACGAUGCGUAGCCGACCUGUGAGGCUGAUCGGCCACACUGGAACUUAGACACGGUCCAUACUCCUACGGGAGGCAGCAGUAGGGUAUCUUCCGCAAUGGGCGAAAGCCUGACGGAGCAACGCCGCGUGAGUUAUGAAGGUCUUCCGAUCGUAAUACUCUGUUAUUAGUUAAGAACAAAUUUGUAAGUAACUAUGCACUUCUUGACGGUACCUAAUCAGAAAGCCACGGCUAACUACGUG